UAGGGAAUCUUCGGCAAUGGACGGAAGUCUGACCGAGCAACGCCGCGCGAGUGAAGAAGGUUUUCGGAUCGUAAAGCUCUGUUGUAAGAGAAGAACGAGUGUGAGAGUGGAAAGUUCACACUGUGACGGUAUCUUACCAGAAAGGGACGGCUAACUACGUGCCAGCAGCCGCGGUAAUACGUAGGUCCCGAGCGUUGUCCGGAUUUAUUGGGCGUAAAGCGAGCGCAGGCGGUUAGAUAAGUCUGAAGUUAAAGGCUGUGGCUUAACCAUAGUAGGCUUUGGAAACUGUUUAACUUGAGUGCAAGAGGGGAGAGUGGAAUUCCAUGUGUAGCGGUGAAAUGCGUAGAUAUAUGGAGGAACACCGGUGGCGAAAGCGGCUCUCUGGCUUGUAACUGACGCUGAGGCUCGAAAGCGUGGGGAGCAAACAGGAUUAGAUACCCUGGUAGUCCACGCUGUAAACGAUGAGUGCUAGGUGUUAGACCCUUUCCGGGGUUUAGUGCCGUAGCUAACGCAUUAAGCACUCCGCCUGGGGAGUACGACCGCAAGGUUG
rnacentral:rRNA from 1 species